UGGACAUGGGCGCAAGCCUGGAUCCAGCCAUGCCGCGUGUGUGAAGAAGGCCUUCGGGUUGUAAAGCACUUUCAGCGAGGAGGAAGGGGUUGUAGUUAAUAGCUGCAACCUUUGACGUUACUCGCAGAAGAAGCACCGGCUAACUCUGUGCCAGCAGCCGCGGUAAUACAGAGGGUGCAAGCGU
rnacentral:rRNA from 1 species